UACGUAGGUGGCGAGCGUUGUCCGGAUUUACUGGGCGUAAAGAGAGCGUAGGCGGACUUUUAAGUGAGAUGUGAAAUACUCGGGCUCAACUUGAGUGCUGCAUUUCAAACUGGAAGUCCAGAGUGCAGGAGAGGAGAAUGGAAUUCCUAGUGUAGCGGUGAAAUGCGUAGAGAUUAGGAAGAACACCAGUGGCGAAGGCGAUUCUCUGGACUGUAACUGACGCUGAGGCUCGAAAGCGUGGGGAGCAAACAGG
rnacentral:rRNA from 1 species